GCUGAAACUCGCCUACAUGAAGCUGGAGUUACUAGUAAUCGCAGAUCAGAAUGCUGCGGUGAAUGCGUUCCCGGGUCUUGUACACACCGCCCGUCACACCACGGGAGUUGGAGACGCCCGAAGCCGAUUAUCUAACCGUUUGGAAGAAGUCGUCGAAGGUGGAAUCAAUAACUGGGGUGAAGUCGUAACAAGGUAGCCGUAUCGGAAGGUGCGGCUGGAUCACCUCCUUUCUAAGGAGA
rnacentral:rRNA from 1 species